UCCCUCUCAUUGAACUCAUCUGCCCGCUUUUGCUCCUCUCAUGGCAUCGUAUUCGGCAUGUAGUUUUCAUUAGCGGGAAGGAUUAUACAGAUACUUCAUUCCAUGGCUCCUUCUUGCACUUCAUUCAAGGUCUCCUUCAGAGAGCGACAAGAGUCCACCAAGAAUCAAUGGGAGAGACUCGUUUGUGAAGGAAGGGGCAAUCAUCCUAUAGGACUUGAGUAGGGCUUCUGUGUGGACAACAUUGCUACUAUUUGUUCUUACAAAUUCCAGUGCCUGCACACUCAUCAAAAAGGUUUAAAAGAGUAACCAGAGAGGUCUUUGGCAUGUUAAUUGUUGUAUUAUUUCUGCAAGAAGGUAUCAAGGUUCACGCUUAGGAUGAGAAUCAGACUAUGUAAGUGCCAUUUCAGAAACAUAAAUGUAUCAUUCAAAAAUUUUGUACAUUCUCUUUGUGUUGCAUAGAGCCAGAUAGAUAUUGUAAGGUUUUGUGUAAGAAACACAGUUGUUUUAUUUUCAAGGCAACAAAAAGUUGUUCAAUACAUAAACACAAAAUAGCUGGCAAUGGUCACAUGUUCUCAACUAUUAUUCAGACUUGAAACUCGGUACUAAACCAAAGGGUGUUUUGAGACCCAAGAUUCUGAAGGGUUUAAUUAUUCUUUAAAGGGUGCUAGCUCAAUGGAAGAGCACCUGCUUUACAAGCAAUAGGUUGGUGGUUCAAUUCCAUCGCGCCCUAACAUAAAUUAGUCAAUGAUAUUGUAGUUUAUAUUUAACAA